GUGGCUGGUCCCUUGUAUGCUGGCCACAUUCUCUCUCUCCCAGCCCUCUUGGGGGCUCAUGGCAGAUAACAGGCAGAGGAAGAUGUGCUGCAUUUUCCAGGACUCUCCAUUUUCUUCAUUAUCUUCAAAAUGAAGGUCUCUGGAUCAACAUGAACACUAUCAAAGGAACUGCAUCCAAGGAACCCCACCUACAUGUGAAUCUGAUUUAGAUGAUGAGCCCUUGGACUUGGAAACUGGUGCUGUAAUUGACUGAAAAUUCAGGGUUCUUAUGAGAGGAAUGCUGCCCUGAGCCCACCAUGUAAGGAAGCCAGCUGAGCACACUGGGAGAUGAAAAGUCACAUGAAGGACAACCAAAAUGCCCCAGCUGACAUCUAGCCCUAGACAUGUGAAUGAGGCUAUCUUGGAACUUCCAGCCCAGCUAAGCCUCCAUCUGAAUGCAGCCGAAUCAAUGAGCCCUGGGGGAAAUGCAGAGAUGACUUUCCCAGCCAAUCCAUAUAAUCAUGAAAAAUAAUAAAUCAUUUUUUUUGUUUAUUUUUUUUAGGGCAGCACCUGUGGCACAUGGAGCUUCCCAGCUAGGGGUCAAAUCGGAGUUGCAACUGCUGGCCUAUGCUCACAGCAGAGCUCACAGCAACGCCGGAUCCUUAACUCACUGAGCAGGUCCAGGGAUAGAACCUAUGUCCUCAUGGAUACUAGUUGCAUUCAUUACCACUGAGCCACAAUGGGAACUCCUAAAUCAUUGUUUUUUAAGCCACUAAAUUGUGGGGGUGAUUUGUUACAUGGCAAUGGAUCUAGUGUCCAUGAAUCUAAGGAAAGAGCUCAAUUAUUUAUAAGAAGAUUCAAUGGCUUAAUCCUUUUUUAUAAAGACAAUUUGUAAACAUUUGGAUAGAUAAAAAUUUUGGUCCAUGCACCAUCAGAAAUACACACAUUCUUCAUUUCCUUUAAAGUAACCUAAUGAUGAUGAUGUGUCUUCAUCCUACGGGGGUAGUGGAAAAUUCCAUUUCAGUAAUUAUUGAGUCUCCUUUUCCUCUUCAGGAUCUCACUAGCAUCUGGAGAUUAAUGUGGUACCUGGAAAAUAGGGGAGGGUGUCUAAUUGCCAAUCUGUCAUGAUUGCUGCUGAUGCCUAAGCCCCUCAGCCUCUGUCUCUGUGGUCCCCUGAUGUUCCUCUGCUGAGAGAACACAAAUUUCUGCUCAGGGGCCCUAAUGGGUAUCACUUUCUUCAGGGGAACCACAAGUAGCCCUGCUGGCUGCUAAGCACCCUCAAAGUCAUUCUUCUUUUCUCUGUGUUUUUCAAGUUUCAGAUUAUUUAUUAAUCAUUGUAAACUCCAAAAAAAUACACCAACAUGAUUUCGUGCAUUUAGAGGAGAAAUAUUUCCUGGUUAAGUGGAUAAUGGUGUGGAUAGCUUUUGGAAGACCUUUAUUCUGAGCAGCUUUAUAGUGAAACAUUUCAUUUAAAGGCCUGGACCUUAUUUCUUCAGUUUGCUGUAAUCUACAUUCACCGAGUAGAACUUGUAUUGAUCACUGGGACUCAGUUUGUUUCAAGGUUCUGAGUCUUUCUUCCCCUUCCUUUCUUCCUUCUUUCCUCUCUCUCUCUCUCUCUCUCUCUCUGUCUCUCUCUGUCUCUGUCUCUGUCUCUCUCUGUAUAUGGAGGUUCCCAGGCUACUCUCUAUCUCAGCCAUCCACAGCAUAUGGAAUUCUCAGGCCAGGAAUCAGAUCCAAGCAGCAGUUGCAACCUAUGCCACAGCUUUGCCAAUGCAGGAUCCUUUAACCCACUGUUCUGGGCAGAAGAUGGAACCUGAGUCCCAGUGCUUCAGAGGAGCCACCCAUCCCAUUGCACCACAGCAGGAACUCUUGGGUUAUACUUUCUGUCCAAACUGACAUCUGGAUUGAACAAUUCCAGAUGUAAGACAGACAAUGCUGCUCCAACAUCUUUUGCACCAAUAAAUACGAAGAGGGGGAUCAGCUAGGAUGCUCCUUGGCCUGACUGAUGAUAUAGUGGAGCAUGGUUGUGACAAACUCAGGUCCAGACAGAGAAGAUUAACCUGCAAGGCCUAGGACUGAGCAGUCUCUGCCCAUUCUUCUCUUUUCUUGAAAGAUUGCACAUGUUCAUAGCUGAGUAGCUCUAUUGUCUGGUUUCCUGCCUAUAGAAUCCCAGAAGUCAAUAGUGUUCCUUCAUUUCGUGCCAUCUCUGUUCUCUUUGGCCCAAGCUGGUAGUGUUUCUGGUGGUAUAACAUCCUCAAAAUCCUCAUGGGAUCCAUGUCAUGACACAUGAAAAGUUCCCUAUAGUCUAUUGUUGACUUCUACUGAGAUGGUUAGUUGGACCAAAGAGUUACACACCAAAUCUCUUGAGUAGAAGGU
rnacentral:lncRNA from 1 species